UUAGAAGGGCAUGUGCGCCCACGAGGGCGGAACUCGAAAUGGCACCGACUGGGCUGUUUACAGGGGAUUGGCCCUGACGUCAUCAACCCGCGCCCAGGCGGGAGCAACAGCAGCCGAUACGGAAGCUGAAUAAUACUGUACCUAUAGGAUGAACGACUACACUCCCUCAGGCCUAGAUGGCAAGGUUCAGAAAACUCUGAAAAAGAUCUUUGGGUUUGACUCCUUUAAAACCUCUCUGCAAGAGAGUGCAACCAUGACAGUGGUGAAAGGCAAGAACGAUGUCUUUGUAUGCAUGCCCACAGGGGCAGGGAAAUCCCUGUGCUACCAGCUUCCUGCAGUUCUGGCAGUGGGCAUCACCAUUGUCAUUUCACCUCUGAUUGCACUGAUUCAGGACCAAGUGGAUCAUUUGUUGGAACUGAAGGUCAAAGUCUACUCUCUGAACUCCAAGCUUUCUGCUCAGGAAAGGAAGAUAAUUCUGGCCGACUUAGAAAGCGAGAAGCCCCAGGUGAAGCUCCUGUAUAUCACCCCAGAGAUGGCAGCCGCCUCCUCCUUCCAGCCCACUCUGAACUCCCUGGUGUCUCGAAACCUCUUGUCCUACCUAAUAAUAGAUGAGGCUCACUGUAUCUCUCAGUGGGGACAUGACUUCCGACCCGACUACCUGCGACUGGGCUCCUUACGCUCUCGCAUACCCAACACGCCAUGCAUCGCCCUGACUGCCACAGCCACCAAACAGGUCCAGGAUGACAUCAUGGUGUCACUUAAGCUAAAGCAACCUGUUUCCACCUUUAAGACGCCUUGCUUCAGAUCUAACCUGUUCUAUGAUGUGCAGUUUAAGGAGCUCUUGACUGAUCCCUAUACAAAUCUGAAGGAUUUCUGUCUGAAAGCCCUUGAAGAGAAGACUGCCCGAGGGGUAUACUCCGGCUGUGGCAUUGUGUACUGCAGGAUGAGAGAGGUCUGUGACCAGUUGGCUAUUGAGCUGAGCUACAGAGGAGUGAAAGCCAAGGCCUAUCAUGCAGGGUUGAAGGCGGCAGACAGAACUUCAAUUCAGAAUGAGUGGAGGGAGGAGAAGGUCCCUGUUAUUGUUGCUACCAUCAGUUUUGGAAUGGGAGUCGACAAAGCUAAUGUCAGAUUUGUUGCCCAUUGGAAUAUUGCAAAGUCAAUGGCUGGAUAUUACCAGGAGUCUGGAAGGGCUGGGAGAGAUGGGAAGCCGUCCUGUUGCCGUCUCUAUUACUCUAGGAAUGACCGGGAUCAAGUCUCCUUCCUGAUCAAGAAGGAGCUCUCUAAACUCCAGGAGAAAAGAGGCACCUUGAAAGAAUCCGAUAAAGCUGUGCUGACGGCCUUUGAUGCUAUAGUGAACUUCUGUGAAGAGCUGGGUGACAGGAGCCUAGCUGUUAUUUACAGUGAUGACUCUCUCUGGUGCUGUUCCACAGCAGCAGUAAAGCAAUGGUUGUUGCUAAUUCAGGAACAUGUGGUGAUGGAGAUAACGCAGGGGCCUUCCUCUUGCUGCUCCUGGGCUGGUGGUGUAUGGUGAUAUUGUGAAUUUUGACUGAUCCACAUCUAUUUAGGAGACAUGAAUGCUUUAAGUUUAUACAGCUGACUAUGACUUUUGUACCUGAUGUCGCCAUGCUGCCAUAGCAAAGUACUUUGGAGAUGUCACUCCCCCUUGUAACAAGUGCUGUGAUUACUGCAAGAACCCAGGAGCAGUGAAAAAGCAGCUGGAUUCCCUGGAGCUUAGCAGCAA